GCUGUUCAUCAAAUGCUGAAGGAAAGUUAAAAGUUGCAAGUUCUGAAGAUGUGCCGGGUGAGUUUGGCAGAGUCUUUAAAGUCCUGGGAUGAUUCACUGGGAGGCACUUGGCAAAGGCAAAACAUGAUUGUGACACCAUCAGAAUAAUCUCCAUUCCAGAGAUGUGCAGCCAAGAAGGAAAGAAGAAAUGAAGCAGGAGCUGGCAGCACACAGCAGCUGGGGGCUGAUUGGCUGGGCUGUAAUCUUUCUGGAUUAAAAGCCAAAAGUUUGAAAAUACAGGUUAUGGAGUGACUGUGGAGUUAGCUGUAGGUUUCUGUCCUGGUCCUAGCUUUUGUUCUGAGUGAUGGUUUUUCAGUCCUUAUUGCAUUAAAAAAUAAAACAAACAGCCUAAGGAAGUAACAGGAGACCUGACGUGGACCAACAACAACAGAGUGGCAUGAACAAAGGAUGGUGAUUAAUCCCUAAUCCAGUUCUGUGUACCUGAGGUCCAGGAAAUAGAACUCAGGAGUAUAUCACACUGGCUCAGUGUCUCCAGCGGCUACAGCAGGCCUCUGUUGAGGGGAGGGGAGUCGGGCUGCAACACUUCCUCCCGUUGGAUGUCGGACACCAUCAUGGCAUCCAGAGGGGAA